AGAAGAAAGGGGGGGGAGAGGGAAAAGGGAGGAUUAUACACUUCAAACAGUACUACAAGAUUCCAAAUAUAUAUAGCUAACACAGCCUCAUCCUUGGAAUCUUGUAGUACUGUUUGAAGUGUAUAAUCCUCCCUUUUCCCUCUCCCCCCCCUUUCUUCUUGCCUCCGAUC